CAGCCGCCGCGGUAAUACGAAAGUCCCGAGCGUUGUUCGGAAUCACUGGGCGUAAAGGGAGCGUAGGCGGCGUGGUAAGUCAGAUGUGAAAUCCCGGGGCUCAACCCCGGAACUGCAUCCGAUACUGCCAUGCUAGAGGAUUGGAGAGGUAGCUGGAAUUCUUGGUGUAGCAGUGAAAUGCGUGGAGAUCAAGAGGAACACUCGUGGCGAAAGCGAGCUACUGGACAAUAACUGACGCUGAGGCUCGAAGGCCAGGGUAGCGAAAGGGAUUAGAUACCCCCGUAGUCCCUGUCUCUUAUAC
rnacentral:rRNA from 1 species